AUUGAACGCUGGCGGUAUGCUUAACACAUGCAAGUCGAACGGCAGCACAGUCUAGCUUGCUAGACAGGUGGCAAGUGGCGAACGGGUGAGUAACGCGUAGGAAUAUGCCUUAAAGUGGGGGACAACUUGGGGAAACUCAAGCUAAUACCGCAUAAUAUCUUCGGAUAAAAGCUAGGGACCUUCGGGCCUGGCGCUUUAAGAUUAGCCUGCGUACGAUUAGCUAGUUGGUAGGGUAAUAGCCUACCAAGGCGACGAUCGUUAGCUGGUCUGAGAGGAUGACCAGCCACACUGGAACUGAGACACGGUCCAGACUCCUACGGGAGGCAGCAGUGGGGAAUAUUGGACAAUGGGGGAAACCCUGAUCCAGCAAUACCGCGUGUGUGAAGAAGGCCUGAGGGUUGUAAAGCACUUUCAGUGGGGAGGAGGAGUGCUAGGUUAAGAGCUAGGUAUUUGGACGUUACCCACAGAAGAAGCACCGGCUAACUCCGUG
rnacentral:rRNA from 1 species